rnacentral:rRNA from 1 species
AUGGAUGUUAAGACUGCUUUCCUAAAUGGAGAGUUGGAUGAGGAAAUUUAUAUGGAACAACCAGAUGGGUUUGUAAUAGAUGGUCAGGAAGGGAAAGUGUGCAAGUUGCUGCAGUCUUUGUAUGGACUCAAGCAAGCACCCAAACAGUGGCAUGAGAAGUUCGAAAGAACUUUAACAGCUGUAGGCUUUGUUGUGAACGAAGCUGACAAAUGUGUCUACUAUCGCCAUGGUGGGGGCGAGGGAGUUAUGCUUUGCUUGUAUGUUGAUGACAUACUGAUUUUCGGAACAAAUCUGAAUGUUAUUAAGGAGGUCAAGGAUUUCCUAUCUCACUGUUUUGAGAUGAAGGAUUUAGGAGUGGCUGAUGUCAUUGUGAACAUCAAGUUGUUGAGAGACGAUGAUGGUGGGAUUACAUUGCUUCAAUCCCACUAUGUGGAAAAGAUCUUGAGUCGCUUUGGCUACAGUGACUGCAAGCCAUCUCCAACACCAUAUGAUGCUAGUGUGUUGCUUCGAAAGAAUCGAAGAAUUGCUAGAGACCAAUUGAAAUAUUCUCAGAUCAUUGGCUCGCUUAUGUACUUAGCCAGUGCUACAAGACCUGACAUCUCUUUUGCUGUUAGCAAGCUGAGCCGAUUUGUCUCAAAACUAGGAGAUGUGCAUUGGAAAGCUCUAGAGAGAGUUUUGCGUUAUUUGAAAGGCACUGCAAAUUAUGGAAUUCACUACACCGGGCACCCAAAGGUGCUUGAAGGGUAUAGUGACUCAAACUAG